GACGAACGCUGGCGGUGUGCUUAACACAUGCAAGUCGAACGGUAAAGCCCUUUCGGGGGUACACGAGUGGCGAACGGGUGAGUAACACGUGAGUAACCUGCCCUCAUCUCUGGGAUAACAGUCGGAAACGGUUGCUAAUACUGGAUAUGAGCUUGCAAGGCAUCUUGUGGGUUGGAAAGAUUUUUUUGGUUGGGGAUGGACUCGCGGCCUAUCAGCUUGUUGGUGAGGUAGUGGCUCACCAAGGCUUCGACGGGUAGCCGGCCUGAGAGGGCGACCGGCCACAUUGGGACUGAGAUACGGCCCAAACUCCUACGGGAGGCAGCAGUGGGGAAUAUUGCACAAUGGACGGAAGUCUGAUGCAGCAACGCCGCGUGCGGGAUGACGGCCUUCGGGUUGUAAACCGCUUUCAAUUGUGACGAAGCUUUUUGUGACGGUAGCAGUAGAAGAAGCACCGGCUAACUACGUG
rnacentral:rRNA from 1 species